AGAUUGAACGCUGGCGGCAUGCCUAACACAUGCAAGUCGAACGGGAGUAGCAAUACUCUAGUGGCGGACGGGUGAGGAAUACGUAGGAAUUUGCCCUUAAGUGGGGGAUAACCCGGGGAAACCCGGAUUAAUACCGCAUGACCUCGAAAGAGCAAAGUGGGGGAUCGCAAGACCUCACGCUUUUGGAGAAGCCUACGUCGGAUUAGCUAGUUGGUGAGGUAAUGGCUCACCAAGGCGACGAUCCGUAACUGGUCUGAGAGGAUGAUCAGUCACACCGGAACUGAGACACGGUCCGGACUCCUACGGGAGGCAGCAGUGGGGGAAUAGUUGGACAAGUGGGCGCAAGCCUGAUCCAGCAAUGCCGCGUGUCGUGAAGAAGGCCGUUAGGUUGUAAAGCGACGUUUAAGUUAGGGAAGAAAAACUCGACUCUAACAC
rnacentral:rRNA from 1 species